UACUGGGUGUGUUUGACGCUUGACAGGAACGACCGUAUAGUACGAGAGGAACUACGGUUGGGUGCCACUGGUUUACCGGUUGUCCGAGAGGGCACUGCCGGGCAGCUACGCACCACGGGGUAACGGCUGAACGCAUCUAAGCCGGAAACCCACCUGGAAAAGAAGCGUCGCCGAGGUCUCUCCUAGAAGAGGAGUUCGAUAGACUCGGGGUGUACGCGUCGAGGCAACGAGACGUUCAGCCCGCGAGCACUAACCGAUCGAAGCCACCAAUCA
rnacentral:rRNA from 1 species